GAUGAACGCUAGCGGCAGGCUUAAUACAUGCAAGUCGAACGGCAGCACGGGUAGCAAUAUCUGGUGGCGAGUGGCGCACGGGUGCGUAACACGUAUGUAACCUACCUUUGACUGGGGAAUAGCCCCGAGAAAUCGGGAUUAAUACUCCAUAACAUCAUGAAAUGGCAUCAUUUUAUGAUCAAAGUUCCGGCGGUUAAAGAUGGGCAUGCGCGACAUUAGCUAGUUGGUAAGGUAACGGCUUACCAAGGCUACGAUGUCUAGGGGUUCUGAGAGGACAUUCCCCCACACUGGUACUGAGACACGGACCAGACUCCUACGGGAGGCAG
rnacentral:rRNA from 1 species